UACGGGAGGCAGCAGUGGGGAAUCUUAGACAAUGGGGGCAACCCUGAUCUAGCCAUGCCGCGUGAGUGAUGAAGGCCUUAGGGUCGUAAAGCUCUUUCGCCUGUGAUGAUAAUGACAGUAGCAGGUAAAGAAACCCCGGCUAACUCCGUGCCAGCAGCCGCGGUAAUACGGAGGGGGUUAGCGUUGUUCGGAAUUACUGGGCGUAAAGCGCGCGUAGGCGGAUUAGAAAGUUGGGGGUGAAAUCCCGGGGCUCAACCUCGGAACUGCCUCCAAAACUGCUAGUCUAGAGUUCGAGAGAGGUGAGUGGAAUUCCGAGUGUAGAGGUGAAAUUCGUAGAUAUUCGGAGGAACACCAGUGGCGAAGGCGGCUCACUGGCUCGAUACUGACGCUGAGGUGCGAAAGUGUGGGGAGCAAACAGGAUUAGAUACCCUGGUAGUCCACACCGUAAACGAUGAAUGCCAGUCGUCGGGUAGUAUACUAUUCGGUGACACACCUAACGGAUUAAGCAUUCCGCCUGGGGAGUACGG
rnacentral:rRNA from 1 species